rnacentral:rRNA from 2 species
AAACCGCUCAGAGGUAAACGGGUGGUUCCGCAAAAGUCAGCCCGUGGAAUUCAGCGCGGCGCUCGGCCUGGGGCUGCUGCGGGUCGGGAUCCCUCGGACCCACCUGCGGCGUCGCACUGGGCCUCGCUGCGUGCACUUUCCAUGGGCAGAGCGCUACGAUCGGUUUCUCGGCGGCGAUUAGCCCCUCCGCUUCGCGUGGCACGGCCUUCGGGUCGUGCCUCGGGCGGUGGUGGUGAGCUGCUGGGGGACCGAGGAACGGCCGUUCGCUUCGAGGCUGCUCGGCCUCGCGGAGGAGUUCGACUGGCGGGGACUGGGCAACCGUGCCCGCCGACCGCUCUUCUGUGUUGGUUCGGGCUCGCCGGGCGAGCAUGGGGUCAGUGGCGAGUCUGUCGGCCUACCACCCGACCCGUCUUGAAACACGGACCAAGGAGUCUAACAUGCGCGCGAGUCAUUGGGCUGUACGAAACCCAAAGGCGCAGUGAAAGCGAGGGUCGCCCCGGGCUGACCCAGGUGGGAUCCUUUUGCUCCGUGCAGGAGGCGCACCACCGGCCCGUCCCGUCUGCGUCGUCAGUGGGGCGGAGCUAGAGCGCGCACGCUGGGACCCGAAAGAUGGUGAACUAUGCCUGAGUAGAACGAAGCCAGAGGAAACUCUGGUGGAAGUCCGUAGCGAUUCUGACGUGCAAAUCGAUCGUCAAACUUUGGUAUAGGGGCGAAAGACUAAUCGAACCAUUUAGUAGCUGGUUCCCUC